UGUGGAGCUUAAACUCUAAUUAGAUUAACUAACUAUAUCUUAAAAGUUAUUUUCUAUAAAAAGUUUUGGUUGGGGUAACCCUGGAGAAAAAAUAACCUCCAGAUAAUAAAAAGAUACUAAAUCUUUUAACACUUUUUAAAAACAAAGAACCAGAAAUACUGGUAAACAGAAAAAGUUACCGCAGGGAUAACAGCGUUAUCUUCUCUAAGAGCCCAUAUUGACGAGAAGGAUUGCGACCUCGAUGUUGGAUUGGGGUAACCUAAAGGUGUAACAGCUUUUAAAGGUUGGACUGUUCGUCCAUUAAAACCCUACAUGAUCUGAGUUCAGACCGACGUAAGUCAGGUCAGCUUCUAUCUUCUAAUGAAUUUUUCCUAGUACGAAAGGACCGGAAAAAUAUCUCCUAUAGUUUUUACCAAGAGAUAAUUAUUUUUACAAAAAAAUUUAUUUAAAAAACAUGAAA
rnacentral:rRNA from 1 species